rnacentral:misc_RNA from 1 species
AUCCCAAACUAGUUGGGGUUGGCCAUAUAAAUACUUUUUGGCCAUUCAACUUUGAAUGCAAGCUUUGAAAAUUAAGAACAUGGGCUCCAGCUUGUAUAAUAUAGGAGCAGGAUGGGGUUGAACCUUAUGUAACAAGUUUUCUGCCUAGUGUUGUAGUUUGAAAAUGAUAAGAACAUGUAUGCUGUCUUUUCAUCUGUGUUGAGAAGAAGCAAUUAUUGCGACACAUUACAGUUAUAGGGCUGUAUUUUUGGUCUCAGAAUUGUCCUUAAAUACGAAAAGUUAGACAUAAA